CUGCUCAGGACGAACGCUGGCGGCGUGCCUAAUACAUGCAAGUCGAGCGGAAUGAUGAAGAAGCUUGCUUCUUCUGAUUUUAGCGGCGGACGGGUGAGUAACACGUGGGCAACCUACCUUGUAGAUUGGGAUAACUCCGGGAAACCGGGGCUAAUACCGAAUAAUCCAUUUUGCUUCAUGGCAAGAUGUUGAAAGGCGGCUUCGGCUGUCACUACGAGAUGGGCCCGCGGCGUAUUAGCUAGUUGGUAGGGUAAUGGCCUACCAAGGCGACGAUACGUAGCCGACCUGAGAGGGUGAUCGGCCACACUGGGACUGAGACACGGCCCAGACUCCUACGGGAGGCAGCAGUAGGGAAUCUUCCACAAUGGACGAAAGUCUGAUGGAGCAACGCCGCGUGAGUGAAGAAGGUUUUCGGAUCGUAAAACUCUGUUGUAAGGGAAGAACACGUACGAGAGUAACUGCUCGUACCUUGACGGUACCUUAUUAGAAAGCCACGGCUAACUAC
rnacentral:rRNA from 1 species